rnacentral:misc_RNA from 1 species
GAUGAAGAACGUAGCGAAAUGCGAUACGAAAUGUGAAUUGCAAAUUCAGUGAAUCAUCGAGUCUUUGAACGCACAUUGCGCCCCCUGGUAUUCCGGGGGGCAUGCCUGUCCGAGCGUCAUUGCUGCCCUCAAGCACGGCUUGUGUGUUGGGCCCCGUCCUCCGAUCCCGGGGGACGGGCCCGAAAGGCAGCGGCGGCACCGCGUCCGGUCCUCGAGCGUAUGGGGCUUUGUCACCCGCUCUGUAGGCCCGGCCGGCGCUUGCCGAUCAACCCAAAUUUUUAUCCAGGUUGACCUCGGAUCAGGUAGGGAUACCCGCUGAACUUAAGCAUAUCAAUAAGCGGAGGA